GCAGCUGUAGCUCAGCUUGGUUAGAGCGCCUGACUGUGGAUCAGGAGGUCGUUGGUUCGAGUCCAACCAGCUGUACCA
rnacentral:tRNA from 1 species